UUUCUCUACAUCUAAAAAUUAAUUUCUCUGUCCUUGUACAUUUUAGACAUGACAGUGCCUUUAUACUUGCUUUUUCUUCCUUUAAGAGUGAUAAGCAAUUUACAUGUAGUGGCAACUUACAUGUGACAGAUGAUGUCAUCCAAGAAUAGUUUAUUGCAAAGAAUAAUAUAAGUGGUUACAGUAGGGAAUAGAAUGCAAUAGUAUAAAAAAUGCUAGAAUAUGUAUUUAUUGUUAAUUCUAUUUUAUUUAUCCUUUCAAAGUUUCAAAAAUAACUUCAAAAUUCUUCUAAGCAUCUAAUAAUUUCUGUGCAGUUGGUGGUGUUUCUUUCUUCAUUUUAUUUUUUGUUUUCCUUGCAAUUAUCACAAAAAAAAUUUUGUACACUGAUUUGUCCAUAUUUACAUUAUAUUCAUGGGCUAAAACUAUGCAAAAGAACUGCACAAUUAUAGCUGGCAAAUAUUUUAGAAUGCAUAUGCUAAUGAAAUUCAAAUUAAUAAACAGAGUACUUGUCUAGGACACUUAUCCAGAAUACAACUUAAAAAAAAAAAAAAAUUUCAAUAAAAGAAUUAAUUCAUUAGUGAGCACUAUAAAAUUAAAGUAUGUAAUAUUAGUAAUGAUGUAUAAAUAAUUACUAUCUUUAAAAUUCAGUCAUGUGGUGGAAAAUACACAUGAAUUUAAUAUCACUUUGAUGAGACCAGUAUAAAUUGCAGGUAAAAUACACAGAAAAAAGACAAAAAACAUACUCUUCAUGUUCCCAAGUGAUUCAAAAGGUAAUUUAUUGAUCAACAGUAUUAAUUACUCUGAGAAUCUACUUCUGUGGUAGGUAGUAUGCUUUACAUAUACAAAAUACAUUUACAGUCUUUCUAGUCACUGUUUUAUUCUCUGAUAGAAGAUAACAUUCUGUCUCUACCAUUUAAGGAUCUCAUUCUUUUUUUAUUGAAGUGAUAGGAGUCUUCAGACUGAGGGCAUUGUAUUCUCUAACAGUUCAACCUUUAUGUAAAGACAGGUUUAGUUUGGGAGUCAGUUGAGUUCUGUACAUAACAUACAUAUAAUCUGUACAUAUAGUAGACCUGAUAGUAUACCCACUGUAAACAUUGAAAAGACUGUUACUAAUGUCAAUGGCUUUUGAUCUAGCAAUUUAAGUAUGUUGUAUCAGAACUCAAACUAAAUUCAGAUGUUCCGAAUUCUGAUAUUUCUUAUACCUGAAAAAUUCCUUGCAUACACCCCCAUGCACUGCAUAGGGGCACAGGCUCAUGUUACACUUUUGCCUCUGUUGUAUACCUGCAAUAAAGUUUAUGCAUGGUCUUGAGAAGAUUGGCAGUGAAACUUAGCAUUUGUUACUUUGUCAAUAGAUGGAGGCACAUCCCUCACUGUCAACAGCAAAAGCCCACUUUCACAUAUGUAGCAUGUCUGUCUAACUACACAGAAUAAAUGAUGAGAAUGAAAUCUAUCAGAAAAUACUUCUACCUGAAGUCACAGAAAGUCCUACUUGUAUGGCCACCUAGCAUAUUGAAAAGAAGAUAUUGUACAUAGCAAAGUCACAUGAUGAAACAUAAUUUGAGCUAAACUAUGAAUCAUUUUUUUUAUUCUUGGAAGUGCCAGGUUGGACUUCAAACUCUUAAACUUCAAAAUGGUGCACAAAUGUUUCGUUUCCUGAUGUUAAAGGAAAUAUUUAACAAAACCUUCACAAAUGUCUUUGAAAAACCAGUGUUCAUUAUGUCAACACUUAAAAUAUUUCUUAGUGAUACAUCCAAGCAUCCUUCCAUUAUUUUAAUGACAUUUAUUUGUGUAUUGUGGUAAUGCCUUGGGAAAAAAAAAAAUUAAAAAGGGAAAAAAAAGGAAAAACUCCAGCAAUGAUAAAAAAAUAUUUGACAUCACAAUAGAACCUUGGAAGUUAGAAAGAAAAUGUUAUUUAAGAAUAUGGAAUUUCUCUAGAAAUAGGACAUAGUCAAUCUUUAUCAUUAGAUUUGUUUUGCAGUCCUUUGAAAUUGACAAAGGUGUUCUCUAGUCCUGGCUCUACACUAGGUUGACCAUUGUAAUGGGUGAAAUUAUUGUAGUGGAAGCCAAUUAGGAGUAAAAUAAUUUCUGCUGUGUUAAAUUGCAAUGAAAAUUGGACACGUGCUUCUUUUCUCCUACUACAGAAGUUCUUUUGAGAUUUGUUAAGAUCUUCUCUCUUCCAAGUUUAAGUGCAAGACUUAUAGUUGUGCACAGGAGCAGAAAGACAGGUGUCCUCAGCAGACCACUUUGUUCUCAAACUCGUAACAAUAUGAGAGCCUUGGGCACUUUACGGCUUCUCUCUACUCUUUGUUCUUAUUUUAACCACAAAAAUAAGAGCAUGAAUGUACUUCUAUAUAGAUCUCACUAAGCUUAUCGUGUCCUUACAAUAUAUUUUAACAAGACUGCGAAUCUAUUAAUGCUGAACACAUAAAACCUAUUUUUUUUAUAUUAACAGAAACAAUGUAUGUAUUUUUUGGAUAAAUCCCACUUUUUUUUUUUUUUCUCACCAGUGAAUUUUCAUCACAUCAUCCUAAAAUCUUCAGUGUGACUGGGAUUAAAGACAUAUUUUGUUUUAGUAUUUGUUUCCUAUGAAUAAUGCAGUCACCCAAAAUCAAGUAUUUAAAAUGUCUUCAUUCUUUGCAUAUAUUAAUUUUUAUUUUCAGCAUCAAAUAAUACCUGUAUGUGUCUAAAAAGGUCCCUAAAUUCAUUAUUUUUAUGGAUAACUCCCUAUUUCCAAUACUAAAUAAAGUAUAUUGUAUUUGUUUCUUUAAUUAUAACUCAAAUUCAGACAAGUUUAUAUUAAAAAUACUCUUAUUUCCAUAGGAAGAAGGGAUUCUAGACAAGGACAUCUAAUGGAGGAUCCUUUGUCUUUCUGUAAGCAACUGAAAACCCACAAAUAUGUAUCCUCAUGUCACGAAUCCAGGUAAAGAAAAUUAUUAAAUAGAUUUGCCUUAAAUAUCUUGAGUUGGGUCUCUCAUGAUGGGAUUCACCUUUCAAAUUACACAAAUUUAGGUGUUAUUAUGUAGAUGACUACAGAUUGAAUAGGUACCUGAUAUUUCCCAAUCUACAGAUAUCUAGGUAUGCAACAGCCACCCACUAGUAAAUAUCCAAUAACACUCAAAAUUCUUUGGCAUGCUGGAGACGCCUGCAGAGCUGUUUCAGACCUACCUAGGUGUGAGCUACUGGAUGCUUCUGUCUCUUAAACAAGAAGGAGAGGCUGCUUUUUUCCUUAUCAUAGGGGCAGUCAUGCUUUGAGUAGAACAUAUUUUUCCUUUCUCUUGGACAAACACAUUAUGCAAUUCAGGACAAAAUAUGUCUGUUUUAAUAUCUCUAUGAUGAUUAGGGCUAGAAACUAAAACAAACUCGUAGGAGCUAAGAUAAAAAAGACAAUAAAGUUAAGACAAUACAAGGAACAGAGGAUGCUAAAGGUGAAAUUAGAAAAGAAGUGGAGCAGUGAGACUUACAUAAUUACUUUAAAUUGAUUGAUCAACAUUUUCACAGAAAAUAAUCCUUUUGGUGUAGAUUUCCAAUUAAAAAAUAAAUUACUGGUCAAUUAUUUACAUAUCUGAAAUAUCAAGUUUUUAAAACCUCCAUCAUUUCUGAACCCUAGAAAAUUGCUAUUUUUUUUAAAUGCUUUCCUUAAAAUUUUACUUUUCUUAGGAACAAAGAAUUCAUUCUCUUGAAGGUACUAUUUCAUCUUGUUUUUUCCAUUUUUUCAGAACUUCACAGUUUUACAUGCAUGUACUUACCAAAAUUAAGUUCUGAUAGUCUAUUAGCUCCAUUGUAUAAGUAAAAAUCAAUACACUAAGACGCAAUGAAAACCUUCCUUUAGAGAAUGACUGAAGAGAAGCAGAGAAGUUGUAAAAAAAUUAAAUGCCAUACAAAUAAAACCUAAUAUUUGACAAAUUGUGGUUUUACUCCUCACUGGCCCUAUCUUGCCUUUUACUGCAUAUAUAUUUCUCCACCUUAGUAAAUAGAAUACCUCAGGUUUGCAGAAAAACGCCUGUGAAAUUUCACAGUCCUUUCCUUCUAAAUGUCACAUAUAACCAUCACUCAAAUUGAAUCGAAGAUGAUAUAUUUUUCUAUUUUAGAAAUUAUAUUUAUAGAUAAGUACAUUAAAAGUUGGAAACAACAGCGUAUUAUCACUGUCCUGGAAAAUGCAUCAGCUGCUGAAAGCUAGAAAUUUCAUUUUGAUAGUAUAUCUAAAAUAUGUAUUAAAAAUUUAUGGGAGAAUAUGAAACCAAGUCCUGGCAAAAAUAUCAACUAAGCAUAUAAAGGAUUCAUAAAAUUAUGAAAUCAUUCUGAAAGUGAGUAUGGUACAGGUGAAAAGGGAACCUGAUGUUUUUCAGUAGAGGAAACUAUUAUUUUUAAUAGGGAAAAAAUCCUUAGUUGAUCUACUUCAAUUUUUGGUACUUGGUUGUAUGGAAAAAAAUGUACAAGCUUGCUGGAGAAAUAUUGACUUAUCAGCAGCUACCAAUAUUUAUUCAAAAUAUUUCAAGUUUAUCCUGUGAACAAAAUAGGCAAAUUACAUUUACCAAUGGUGUCGGCAGCAGAAGAGGAAAUGAUGGCAUCUGGAAGAUUUUAAGCUACAGAUGACAUAUUUACAACAAGCAUGUAAAUUCUUCCUAUCAGUUGCAUCAAAUUAAACCUCUUCAUGCUCAAGUAACAGAUAGUAGUUGCAUAGUAUUAGAAAAAGUUUCAAUUUAAGUGAAAAAUAUUCAAUCUUUGAAAAAAGUUUCUCAUAUUCUACUUGUGAUAGUCUUUAACUAAAGAAACAAACAGAUUUUUUUCAAUUACUUACUAAAGAAUUCAAAUGUAGAUAUAAACAAAAACAUGUGAAAAAUAUAUACUGUGCCGUAUUUUUCAGAGAGAAAGAGAUUUGAUUGCUACAAGAACAUAUCUGCAUUGCUUUUCCUAGCUAUUGGCAUGUUUGUAGAAAUACCAUCUGUAGUCAGCUGUAAAUUUUCCGAGCUUUGCCAGCCUGGAAAGAGGAACCAUGGUUGCAACCAUGGAACCUUUGAAAGAGGAAUGUCUAGUAGUUGUCAGAGCCAGCGUCUGCUCAUUUCUUCUCGUAAUCACAACCACACAUGUCUAUUUACCAUUCCUAAAACAAUAAUUUAUUCAAUAUUUUGGCCAAUAUUAUUAUCUGCUUAACUUCAAUUCGGCUAACUACCUAUUAAAAAUGCAGUAUUCCAAUGCAUAUAAAUAGAGGAAACUUAUAAAAAAAUAAGCCAACUCAAGAAAUAAAUAUUAGCCCAAUACCUGCUACUCAUUUCAGUAAGCUUUCAGUUUUAUGAUUGUGAAGAAAUUGCCAGAAGGACAUGGCUACUUUUGACCUACUUUUCAACUUAAGUAGUCAUUAAAUGCCAAGAAAACACACUUGCUUUUCUUGACAGACUUUCCUGCCAAAAAGAAAAUUAUUGCCUGUAUCAAUCAAGAGUUCAUGGCUGUGCGUUUCUUCUUAUUUCCUCAGCUGUAAAAGCACUCAAAUAAAGCACUUGCCUUUAAAAUAAGCCCUCAUAGAUAUAAGUUUUUAGCUGUGCUGAGGGAUUAAAAGCCAUGUUCUCCCUGCAUGACAUUUAUUGCAAGAUCAAGGUAUUAACUUGUAGAUAAGUGUAGGAGAAUGCACAUGAGCAUUCUGAGUCCCUGUGCUAAAAACUCCUGAAAUGCUUUUCCACUGAGAAUGUGAAACAUAUUUUAUUUUUUAUUAAGAUAAUAAAAAGGAUUAGUCACAUUACAGAUUAAUUGCCAGCACAAUUUAUAAUCCGUAUUAUAAAAUGAAGCUCUCUGGUUAGCUGAAUUCAGAAAUUCAGCUGAAAAUGUAAUCUUCCCAUAUGUUUGCAGGUCUGUAAAAUAAAAAUUAAUGCUUUUCUGUGUUAAAAAUUUUGCUUGCCAUUGAGACAUAUGCCAUGGUUUAGCUGGGAGAAAUUAUUUCUGGGACAGACUAUUUGAAUUAAAGUGAAAAAUCUGGCUGACUAUUUGAGACAAUAAAACUAUCAUUAUUUCGUGAAUAUUUUGAAAAAUACAUCAAAUGUUACAUAUCCAUGUUAUCCAGCCUCUAGCAUUAUCACAUUUUUAAAUUAUUUUAAUGUAUUUUACUUUUUCACUUGUGCAACUACAAAAUACUAUAAAAGUGUCCAAUAAAGGUUAAAAAUUAAAAUACAUUAUUUGCUCUAACUUCUUUCCUAUUGUCACCUUGGCAGAACUGGUUUCAAUAUAUACAAGUAUCAAUGUGACUUUUAUUUUUUGACGUAGCAUCAUUCUACCCCUUCAAUGUUCAAGAAUACCAACAUCCCUUUCAAGAACUUCUAUGGCAUUCUAGAACACACCAGCACAUUGCAUUGAGUGAACGGCAAAAAGAGCAUAGACUAGCCCUCUGCAAAUAGUGGUGUCCAACCGGAAAGGAUAGGUAGAUGGAGAGACAGCCACCAUUUCUGUAAAUUUUCGGUCUUCUGGAAUAAGUUCAUGCUGUGGAAGAUUUGCUCCAUCUAAACUGACAGUGAAUUGCUAAGAACCAUUCACUUCCAUCUGUAUGAAUACAUCCUGGUUUCUUGUGCCACAAAUCUUGAUGAUUUUGUAAAAGCUCUUCCAAAACUCUAUUACCUUGUUUUCAUUCUCAGACUCAAACAUAUAAUCAAGAAAGAAUGCACUAGAUUAAGCAUAUUUUUUUCUUUGCAAAAACUAAACAAUCAAUUUCAAUGAUUUUUUAAUUUUUUUUCUUAUGCUGUAAAAAAUAUACUAAUUUUCUGUGCAAGCAUCUAGCUGUCUUGUCUUCUGAUGGCUGGUUUUUGUGAUUUAAUAAGGCAUGUUAAAAGCAGCAUUCUUACCUAAAUUUUUCCUUUUUUUUAUUUCUAGUAUUUUAUAAUAAUCACUAAUUUAUUAUUGUUAUUGAUUAAUUGAUAAACUAAUUAUUAUUAAAAUAUUAGGUCCUGAGUAGGGAUCUCAGAGCAUAGGGUUUUGUAUUGAAAGGAGCUUUAAAGAUCACUGCUUCAAUGAUCAGGGUUGUUUUUCAUGAGGUUCGCAUGGGCCUGUUCCUCAAGGUUUCUGUGGAUGACAUCCCUUCCUUCAGGCCUAUGAACUGCACCAGUCAACUUGGUGUUAUCUGCAAAUUUGCUGAGGGUUCAUUCAAUCCCACUGUCCAUAUUAUUCCUAAAGACAAUAAAUUGUAUUGGCCCCAGUAUGGACCCUUGAAGGACACUGCUGUGUUUUGCUUUCGGACAUUGAGCCAUUGACUGUAACUCUUUGGACAUGGCCAUUCAGCCAAUGCCUUAUCCAUCAAACAGUCCAUCUGUCAAGCCCAUGCCUCUGCAUUUAGUAAUAAGAGGAUGGUACCAAAGGCUUUACAGAAGUCCAGGCAGAAUGACAACAGUAGCACUUUCCCUGUCCACUGAUGUAGUCAUUCCACCAUAGAAGGCUAAUUGCUUGGUCAAGCACAAUUUUUCCUUUCUCUAAUCGUAUCUGUGUUUUCCAUGUGUUUCUAUAUACUUUCCAGGAGGUUGUGCUUCAUGGUUUUAGCAGGCACAGAAAUGAGAUAAACUGAUCAGGUCCUCUUUGGUGCACUUUUUAAAAAUGAGAGCAAUGUGGCUUGGCAACUGCAUCAGUCAGUUCCCUUAUCAUCCACCUGAGGGAUGCACUUUAACAGCUCCCACAAACCUGUGUAUAUUUAUAU
rnacentral:lncRNA from 1 species